ACACAGGGCACAAAUGCAUUUCUGGAAACAGUCGUGUCUGGGAGCUGACAAGCACGACUCUGCUGCCAUGCCAACCAGCAGCGAGAGCAAUCCCUCUUCAAUAUGCUUCUCCUCCAGUGGAUUUGGAUCCUCCAGGCCAAAGUUCUUGUCAAAUGUGAGCUGGAUCCUCAUGUUGUCGGCCGCCACCAGUCUCCAGACCAGCAUGGUAUCCCUGGGAUAAGUGUGUGGGAAGUCUGGGCUGUGGAUCAUUCCCUCUCCAGACACAGAGUCUAAUACACGAGAUGAUCAGGAGAACCAGGAGGAGGUUAAUGGGCUCAAGCGAGGGACUGUCCUCCUGGACAUUUGACAGCAUAAUAAAUGGAUGACUAACCUUUUCC